rnacentral:rRNA from 1 species
AGAGUUUGAUCAUGGCUCAGGAUGAACGCUAGCGGCAGGCUUAAUACAUGCAAGUCGAGGGGCAGCACGGGUAGCAAUACCUGGUGGCGACCGGCAAACGGGUGCGGAACACGUACAGAACCUUCCUUUAAGCGGGGAAUAGCCCGAAGAAAUUCGGAUUAAUACCCCAUAGUAUUAUGAAGUGGCAUCACUUUAUAAUUAAAGAUUUAUCACUUAAAGAUGGCUGUGCGGCUGAUUAGGUAGUUGGCGGGGUAAUGGCCCACCAAGCCUGCGAUCAGUAACUGGUGUGAGAGCACGACCAGUCACACGGGCACUGAGACACGGGCCCGACUCCUACGGGAGGCAGCAGUAAGGAAUAUUGGUCAAUGGACGCAAGUCUGAACCAGCCAUGCCGCGUGAAGGAUGAAGGCCCUCUGGGUUGUAAACUUCUUUUACAGGGGAAGAAAAAUUCCGAUUAUUCGGGACUUGACGGUACCUUGGGAAUAAGCACCGGCUAACUCCGUGCCAGCAGCCGCGGUAAUACGGAGGGUGCAAGCGUUAUCCGGAUUCACUGGGUUUAAAGGGUGCGUAGGUGGGUCUGUAAGUCAGUGGUGAAAUCUCCGGGCUUAACCCGGAAACUGCCAUUGAUACUAUAGGUCUUGAAUUUUCUGGAGGUGAGCGGAAUAUGUCAUGUAGCGGUGAAAUGCUUAGAUAUGACAUAGAACACCAAUUGCGAAGGCAGCUCGCUACAGGAAUAUUGACACUGAGGCACGAAAGCGUGGGGAUCAAACAGGAUUAGAUACCCUAGUAGUCC